UACGGAGGGUGCAAGCGUUGCUCGGAAUUAUUGGGCGUAAAGGGUAGGUAGGUGGUCUCAUUUGUCUGGGGUGAAAGCCUCGAGCUUAACUCGAGAAGUGCCCCAGAAACGGUGAGACUGGAGUCCUGGAGAGGUGAGUGGAAUUCCCGGUGUAGCGGUGAAAUGCGUAGAGAUCGGGAGGAACACCAGAGGCGAAGGCGGCUCACUGGACAGGUACUGACACUCAACUACGAAAGCGUGGGGAGCAAACAGG
rnacentral:rRNA from 1 species